AGGAUGAACGCUGGCGGUCUGCUUAACACAUGCAAGUCGAACGGAGUAGCAAUACUUAGUGGCGGACGGGUGAGUAACGCGUGAGAAUCUACCUUCAGGACGGAGACAACAGUUGGAAACGACUGCUAACCCCCGAUGUACUGAAAAGGCAAAUAUUUAUAGCCUGAAGAAGAGCUCGCGUCCGAUUAGCUAGUUGGAGAGGUAAAAGCUCACCAAGGCGACGAUCGGUAGCUGGUCUGAGAGGACGAUCAGCCACACUGGGACUGAGACACGGCCCAGACUCCUACGGGAGGCAGCAGUGGGAAUUUUCCGCAAUGGGCGAAAGCCUGACGGAGCAAGACCGCGUGGGGGAAGAAGGCUCUUGGGUUGUAAACCCCUUUUCUCUGGAAGACACAAUGACGGUACCAGAGGAAUCAGCAUCGGCUAACUCCGUGCCAGCAGCCGC
rnacentral:rRNA from 1 species